GUUCACUCCAGAUGAGUCAUGUCCUUAAGUGCUUGGCCUGGGAGUGGGUGUUCAAGGGAAUUGUGUCCCAGCUUCCACCAGACGUGAAAUGCCCUUUCUGCAAAUGGCAGAAACACCUGCGUUUCUCCACCAGCUUGGGAGGACAUUAUGUUUUCCUGAGUGUCACAGAGACUUUCAGUUUAAACCUUAUCUAUCGUCUUGGCUGCAGGACAGGGGUGGAAAUAUGUGAUUAAUAUCAGUGUCUUACUGUUGCUAUUAUUACUCUCAUGGGCUUUAUGAAGAAGCUCCGGUUGUUGCUCUAGGAUAGGUAAUGAUGUUCUACUUUACCGUUGGUUAACUAUUUCGCUUUACGGUGGCAUGUCAUCAUCUCCAGCCGAUGUUUGUCGCUGCCUAGCUCACCAGAUGUGAAGCCAAGAAAGAUCUGCUUCUUUGCUCUCCACGUUUCCAUCACAGAUCAGCUGGAUUCAAUACAUAAUUCCCUAAGAUUUUGCCACUACAUAGUUAGGAUAGUUUUUUUCUUGAGAACAAGAUCAAAUCAGACAAUGCUGUUCUGAUAAAUGCAAUUGGAGCAUGGGAAUUACAGUGGCCGAGGAAAGUGCUGUUCGUUUUGGACAAAGCCAGCUUUUCCAGGGGCCGUGUGCAGGGCUGUGUAUCCGCUGGAGCAAUGGGAGGGGGCACUGGGGCUCUCACUUCUUUUUCAGUAAAAUGAGCAUGAACGGCCUUGUUCUCCUUACCCAAAUGUGGUUGAAGUGUUUUUAAAGUUAUUAAGAAUCCUCAGAACGAGCAAAUAAAGAUCUAGCAAAGUGUCUGACACAGAGUAAACCCGCAUUUAUGGCAUUUUGUGGCAGACACUUUACGAUGCUCUCAUGAAAUCCUCACAGUGAGCUUUUUGCCUCUUUGUUACCCGAGGAAAUCAAGGCACAGAGAAGUUAUGUCGCUUGUAGAAGAUCCCACAGCUGGCCAGGGGCAGGCCGGGCUCAGCAGGCAGGGAUGACCAGCUCGGGAGCUCACACUCCUCCUGCUCUCUGGUGUCCACAGGCCGGCAGCAGCCUGGGCUCUGCUUUGUCUAUUUCAGGAGCUUGGGAGUCUGCACACCCCACUUGCACUUUCCAUACGGGUGUGUCCUGUGUAGACAGAGACCUUCAGCCUGGGGCGUGGGCCAGCGGGACACAGCGCCCACGCUGUAAUGUACUGCCAUCCUUCAGCCGAGUUGCCUCACAUGGUGACAUAAUGGAAAUCUUCCUUUUCCCUUCAACGAAUGACCUUUUAUUAGUUUGAGAAAGCAGCUUACAGGCCAGUGAUUCAGUAUCAAAAAGCAGAAUUAUUUGUUUAUGAGAAGGCUCACCACUCACCUGCCUGUUCCCUUCCACUAACCCCCCUCCCUCAGCCUUUAAGACUGGGAAUUGCAGGGGAUUAAACAUAAGGCCCUUGUUAAUUGCAAAUUAAUAUUGCCAGGAAUGUAUGCAGAUGGCACUGGAAGUCAGUUGCUGACGGACGGCAUCAUAUUCUGGUUCUAUUUUUCUUUCCUGCAACACAAGUACACUACGUGAAGGGAGAUGGGUCUUAGGUGCUGGUUCAGCCCUGCAUUUAUGCAGGAUGACUUUCAAGUUCUUGGCCUACCACUGUUGUUAUCUUACAAAUUUGGGGGCUUUUGCUUUUAUUUAGUCAUUAAUUGUAACCCGCUUUGGGCUUUGGUAGUUUGUAGGACACAGGUGCAACUCUCCAGACUUGUGUGCUGUACCUCUUAGACAACAUUUGCUUAGCUAGUAAAUAUUCUGCUGCUCGAGUUUGCUCAUUCUCAAGCGACUGAUGGUAAAGUUCCACUGUGGUAACAGGCCCGUGGGGAACGUCUGUGCUUUCACUGGCACUUCAAUCACAUUCAUCAGAUGAUUUUUCUUUUACUUUCGAGGCUGACAUUCCAGUAAAUUUUUCAAAGGUCACAUGCCCACUGCCAAAGUCAAUCAAUGAAAUGAAAAAUCCAACAUUUUUAGGCAAGAGAACGAUCACUGUACCACGCAGGAUGACCCAGGCAGAGAGAAGACACAGUCCCAUCUUCCCAAACUAGACGGGAAGAAUGCUCUGAAAUGCUGACGUGGAGCGGAUUCUACUUUGGCCUCAUUAAUAGCUACUUGGAAAAUAAAUCUUGAUCCAGGGCUUUGGAAAAACCAUGUGCUUCACAUCUUGGGAUAAGUGGCAGUGUGACUGGUGAAUCCCAAGUGGGGGCUGGACCUCAGGUCUGAGCUUUGGACUCCCAUCUCUGUGACUAUGCCCUAGAGAUGAGGGCCUGGGUACAUCAUAGGAUUCUGGGGCCACAUGUUCUGGAAGGACUGAAGACGUGACAAGCCACCUGCCAACCUGCCGGGCAUGGGUUGGCCUUUGCCUUCCUUUCACCUGGCACAUUGGAGUCACCUGGCACAUUGGCGUCAGACUCAGCACCCAGGGAGGCUGUGUCACCAGACCUGGCAAAACACCUACAUCCUGGUUCGUUACCAGCGAAGGGAGCUGUCCAGAGAUGAGAGGGCAGCACAAGUAAUGCCCAACUUUCAAACGCUCCCUGAAUCACAUCCUCCUGCACCCCAUGCUCUGAAAUGCCUUUAUAGAGGUCCUGUGCUGAAGAUCUGGUGGAGGCCCCAUCCUCCUCCUUCCACCUGGUCACCCUCCUCUCCCUCUCAGCCACUUGGCCAGGAGCUGGAGUGGAAGCCCUGACAACUUGCCCUUCCCCAAAUUGCAAGUCAUGGAGAGGACGGACUCAGCUUCAGUUUUAAUCAAACAACUGUGCUACCUCCUAAUUUUUAGAUUCUGGCUACUCAAAAAUAGAUUCAGUCUUGCAAACUCGGGUUCUUCUAGAAGAGUCGUCCUGAAGAGCAGGUCCAGGCCUGAGCUCUGCCUGUGGUCCACCCCGCGAGGGAGACCAGGAAGCUCUCAGAUGCUACGUUCCACUUUCUUACAGAUUAGCAUAUUUUAAACCAAGAGCCACUUCCCACGCCAUGGAACCAAAUUUACCCUUAUUCUAACACUUAGCUUUUAAUGAGUUUAAUUAAGUAGUAUUCUACCUGAACAAAUGAUGU